rnacentral:rRNA from 1 species
GAUGAACGCUGGCGGCGUGCCUAAUACAUGCAAGUCGAGCGAACAGACGAGGAGCUUGCUCCUCUGACGUUAGCGGCGGACGGGUGAGUAACACGUGGAUAACCUACCUAUAAGACUGGGAUAACUUCGGGAAACCGGAGCUAAUACCGGAUAAUAUAUUGAACCGCAUGGUUCAAUAGUGAAAGACGGUUUUGCUGUCACUUAUAGAUGGAUCCGCGCCGCAUUAGCUAGUUGGUAAGGUAACGGCUUACCAAGGCAACGACGCGUAGCCGACCUGAGAGGGUGAUCGGCCACACUGGAACUGAGACACGGUCCAGACUCCUACGGGAGGCAGCAGUAGGGAAUCUUCCGCAAUGGGCGAAAGCCUGACGGAGCAACGCCGCGUGAGUGAUGAAGGUCUUCGGAUCGUAAAACUCUGUUAUUAGGGAAGAACAAAUGUGUAAGUACCUAUGCACGUCUUGACGGUACCUAAUCAGAAAGCCACGGCUAACUACGUG